UACAUGGGGUGCAAACGUUGCUCGGAAUCAUUGGGCGUAAAGCGCGCGUAGGCGGUUACUUAAGUUGGAUGUGAAAGCCCUCGGCUUAACCGAGGAAGUGCAUCCAAAACUGAGUAGCUAGAGUACGAAAGAGGGUCGCGGAAUUCCCGGUGUAGAGGUGAAAUGCGCAGAUAUCAGGAAGAACACCCGUGGCGAAGGCGGCUCUCUGGGACGGUACUGACGCUGAGACGCGAAAGCGUGGGGAGCGAACAGG
rnacentral:rRNA from 1 species